rnacentral:pre_miRNA from 15 species
UUUGAGGGGAAUGUCGUCUGGCUCGAGGUUGCUGUGACUGCUUCAUUUUGUGGAAGAGAUCUCGGACCAGGCUUCAUUCCCCCCAAU